CCUCCAACCGCCUCUCAGAAGGCCCGCGAAGUGCACCCUGGGAGCGGUAGUUCCUGUGCCUCAGCCACGCUCCUUCUUUUCCCGGCUAAGUGCAUCCUGGGAAUGGGAGUACUGUUGCUGGGCAACGCUCUGCUUACCAAAGGAGGAGGAUGGAUUGAGUGGAGUUGAAGGCCGUAUUGGCUGCCAUAGCUCAGUCCUAUGGAAUCUGUUUACCAGGGGUAGAUCCAACCAGUCAAUGCUUCAGAAAAUAAUGCCCGACUGCUCAGUGGAGGGAAGGAUAUUAGAAGCAAAGAUGAAGUACUUUGGCCAAAUAAUGAGAAGACAGGAAAGCUUGGUGAAGAGAAUGAUGCUGGGGAAAAUGGAAGGAAAAAGGAAGAGGGGCCAACCAAAGGCAAAAUGGAUGGAUGGUAUCCUUGAAGUGACUGGCUUGACCUUGAAGGAGCUGGGGCUGGCCAUGGCAAACAGGGAGCUCUGGCGUGGGCUGGCCCAUGAGGUCACGAAGAGUCAGAAGCAACUGAACGAAUAAACAACAAUGUCUUCAGCUGCAAAGUCCAUUUUAUUUGUUAGGUUUUUAAAAUAUUUUUUCUUAGGGCAGGAGAGAAAGAGGGAGAAUUUUAGAGGGAACUUCAAAAAAAAUGUAAAGUAGUGUUAAAAUGUGCACUAUAUGAACAGUGACAUGUGGUACAUUAUGUAAAAUGAAAACUUUAUAUACACUUUCAAUAAAAUAAAUAAUAAUGUUA